rnacentral:rRNA from 1 species
UGAGACGCAGCGAUGCGAUAAGUAAUUGUGAUUGCAGAUCAGUGAUCAUCGAAUCUUUGAACGCACAUUGCGCCGGCUGUUAUUCCGGCGGAUAUGCUUGUUCGAGCGUCAUUUUCAACCUCAGGCUUGUCUUGGUGUUGGGGCGCCGGGCCUUCGCG